GAUCGAAUGAUGACUCCCACAUAUGCAUUCCUUGGAAAUUGGAACAAAAUGAGUGAGAAAAAAAAAUUACAAUGUCUUUUCUCUUUUACUUGAUUAUU